rnacentral:rRNA from 1 species
GAAGGAGAAGUCGUAACAAGGUUUCCGUAGGUGAACCUGCGGAAGGAUCAUUAUUGAAUAAAUCUGAUGAGUUGUUGCUGGUUCUCUAGGGAGCAUGUGCACGCCUGUCAUCUUUAUAUCUCCACCUGUGCAUCUUUUGUAGACCUGAAUACAUUUCUGAAUGCGAGUUCAGGUUUUUGGGGAUUGACUUUAUGUUUUUCCUUACACAUUUCAGGUCUAUGUUACUUCAUUUACCCAAUUGUAUGUUAUGGAAUGUCGCUAAGUGGCCCUUGUGCCCAUAAACCUUUACAACUUUCAGCAACGGAUCUCUUGGCUCUCGCAUCGAUGAAGAACGCAGCGAAAUGCGAUAAGUAAUGUGAAUUGCAGAAUUCAGUGAAUCAUCGAAUUUUUGAACGCAUCUUGCGCUCCUUGGUAUUCCGAGGAGCAUGCCUGUUUGAGUGUCAUUAAUAUGUAUAUCAACCUUUAUUUGUUGGAUGUGGGGGUCUUCUUUUGCUGGUCCUUCUAAGGUCAGCUCCCCUGAAAUGUAUUAGCUGAACAAUUGUAAACCGUUCAUUGGUGUGAUAACUAUCUAUGCUAUUGACGGGAAGCAGUUUCAGCUUCUAAAUGUCCAUUGAUUUGGACAAGUUGUUAUUAAUGUGACCUCAAAUCAGGUAGGACUACCCGCUGAACUUAAGCAUAUCAAUAAGCGGAGGAAAAGAAACUAACAAGGAUUCCCCUAGUAACUGCGAGUGAAGCGGGAAAAGCUCAAAUUUAAAAUCUGUCAGUCUUUGACUGUCCGAAUUGUAAUCUAGAGAAGUGUUAUCCGCGUUGGACCGUGUACAAGUCUCCUGGAAUGGAGCGUCAUAGAGGGUGAGAAUCCCGUCUUUGACACGGACUGCCAGGGCUCUGUGAUACACUCUCAAAGAGUCGAGUUGUUUGGGAAUGCAGCUCAAAAUGGGUGGUAAAUUCCAUCUAAAGCUAAAUAUUGGCGAGAGACCGAUAGCGAACAAGUACCGUGAGGGAAAGAUGAAAAGAACUUUGGAAAGAGAGUUAAACAGUACGUGAAAUUGCUGAAAGGGAAACGCUUGAAGUCAGUCGCGUUGUCCAGGGAUCAACCUUGCUUUUGCUUGGUGUAUUUUCUGGUUAACGGGUCAGCAUCAAUUUUGACUAUUGGAAAAAAGUCGAGGGAAYGUGGCAUUUUAGGAUGUGUUAUAGCCCUUGGUUGCAUACAAUUGUUGGGAUUGAGGAACUCAGCACGCCGCAAGGCUGGGUCUUUAUUGAUCACGUACGUGCUUAGGA